rnacentral:tRNA from 2 species
AAGGGAGACCUAAUUCAGGUAAAAGACGAAAAAAAAGUAGUCGCUACCAAGAAUCAAUCCCAAAAGGUCGGAGCGAGGCGAAAUUGGCUUUCAAACUAGGUUCUGGGUUCAAACAAGACCUGAAUCGGGAACAAGGGCUAUUAGCUCAGGUGGUUAGAGCGCACCCCUGAUAAGGGUGAGGUCCCUGGUUCGAGUCCAGGAUGGCCCACCUGCACAGGUGGCAAAAACAAGAGAAGCGAGGAAUCAGCACCUUAUCUUACUUAUAUAGUAAGAGAGAAUGCUGGCUCUGAGUAAAGAGUCCAGAGGAACCUUGAAAACUGCAUAGAGCUAGGUGAAAAAGCCAAAAAAGAAGACCGCAA